rnacentral:rRNA from 1 species
GGCGCCCGAGUUGUAAUUUGUAGAGGAUGCUAUUGGGUUGCCACCGGUCUAAGUUCCUUGGAACAGGACGUCACAGAGGGUGAGAAUCCCGUAUGUGACCGGCCAGGCGCCUUCUGUAUAGCUCCUUCGACGAGUCGGGUUGUUUGGGAAUGCAGCCCUAAAUGGGAGGUAAAUUUCUUCUAAAGCUAAAUACCGGCCAGAGACCGAUAGCGCACAAGUAGAGUGAUCGAAAGAUGAAAAGCACUUUGGAAAGAGAGUUAAAAAGCACGUGAAAUUGUUGAAAGGGAAGCGCUUGCAAUCAGUCUCGACGGCGGCUGUUCGGCCCCUCUUCUGAGUGGUUUAUUCAGUCGCCGCCGGGCCAGCAUCAGUUUUGGCGGUCGGAUAAAGGCGCGGGGAAUGUAGCUCCUCCGGGAGUGUUAUAGCCCCGCGUGCAAUACGGCCCGCCGGGACUGAGGUCCGCGCUUCGGCUAGGAUGCUGGCGAAAUGGUUGUAAGCGGCCCGUCUUGAAACACGGACCAAGGAGUCUAACAUCUACGCGAGUGUUUGGGUGUCAAACCCGUGCGCGCAAUGAAAGUGAACGGAGGUGGGAACCGCAAGGUGCACCAUCGACCGAUCCUGAUGUCUUCGGAUGGAUUUGAGUAAGAGCGUAGCUGUUGGGACCCGAAAGAUGGUGAACUAUGCCUGAAUAGGGUGAAGCCAGAGGAAACUCUGGUGGAGGCUCGCAGCGGUUCUGACG